CCAGGCAACAACUUGCAGUGGGCUUGUCAAGAAUUGAGCAAAGCCAUCUGCCUGGGAAGCACAAAGUGUGGUGCUACCAGCACGCAUUAAACCAGCGUGUGCUGUGGCCUCUAAAGGUCCGUAAAAUUAUUACUAUUCCGGAGGUUAGCAGGAUGGACAGCCUUGCCAAUAGCUACAUUCAAAAUUGGUUGGGAUUGAAAGUCUCUUUGGCCGGAAUAUGCUGGAGCUCCCCAUCAAAUCCAUCAGCCUAGGGUACAAGUAAGAGCUAGAUUGUUCUGGAGCUAAAGGACUAGGAAAUCAAGAGGUGAUGGGGUUAGUCCAGACCGGUCAGGGUAGCCUAGGCUGGGGAGCACCACAGCAGCUCUGGUCUAAAGCCACCAAGAGGCAGCAGGAGACCUGGAAAUUACCAGGCUGGAGCAGGAGUAAAGGCCAUAUCCAAUGGCAGUCAAGGAGCCUGGACGCAAUGGGAUGUGACUGUGAACAGGCGCAUUACUUGGGCAGAUAACUGGAGUACGUGGCAGUCCAGGCUCAGCUUCUGUUAAAGGCAACCUUUGACACCAUCCCAUGCCCCUGGAACCUCACCCAGUGGUUUGGAGACAAGGUAGGCUGCCCGCUGUGUGGCAACAUAAAGACAAGCAUCCAGCAUAUCUUAUCAGGGUGCAAAGUGGCAUUGAUCCAGGGACACUUCAGGAGGCAAAGCCAAAGCCAAAGCAGGAACAACAUCUCACCUGUUUAAUCAUCCAAAAGAAAAAAUAAAUUCAUACAGGUUAGGAACAAUUUAAGGGUGAGUAAAUGAUAACAAAGUUUCAUUUUGGGGUGAACUAUCACUUUAUACAAGGGUCAUACAAGGGUUUCGAUUGUUUAAUUAAUAUCCAUAUGUUUAGAUGGGAUGCAAGGCGCCACUCUUCCAAAUGGUGUGCACUCCAGUUAUGUGGCCAAUGGAUUUGUUGGCAGUUCGGAAGGAAACCGUAUGGGAAGAGUUGUUUCGACAAAAUCUCAAGCGUCGUCAGCAGGGGGCCAUAAACCUGAUCUCAGAGUGCUCAUUCCUCCUGUGUGCAAGCGUACUGUCUCUUCACUGGUGAGAUUUGUUUUGUGUGCCAUCAACAACAUAUCUACAGUGUGCCAGAGAAACAUCCUGACAAUAAGAAAGUAUUGAUGUCUGAAACUGUCCUUAAAUCUAUUUCUUGCAAGCCGCAAGAGGAAGGAAAGAAACAUUUGGUAAGGGGAAUUUGAUUAUAUUUAAUUCAGAAAAGCUUUUUAAAAAUGACUCAUUAACUAGGUCAUAAGAAAUGUAAGAAAAUCAGUAUUGUUACAGCUGCCUUUUGUUUAACAGUUACAUGCUAGUUACAGGCCAUCUAGUGGUUCAGAGAAACAUUAAAAUCACUGAAACCUUUAUACACUGCAGUUUUUAGUUAAAACAAUAUUUAACAGAAAAUCUAGUCCCAAAUAUGAUUAAGACAUUUAAGACAAAUCUGUGUACAUAAUUUAUUAUAUUUUUGCUUUGUUCUUCUUUGUUUUGUUGUUUGUUCUUUUUUAAACUUGUUUUUGAUUUGCUUUGUUUUGUUCUGUUUCGAUUCCUCUUAUUGUUGUUGUUGUUGUUGUUUGUUUGUUUUUUUGCAUUCAUUCAUUUAUUUUUGUUUUAUUUUUGCAUUGCUUUGUUGUGUUUGUUUUAAUUUGUCUGCUUUUUCUGUUCAUUUUGUUUAUUGUGUUAUUUUGUUUUGCUCUGUUUGUUCUGUUCUGUUCUGUGUUUUUUUUUUUUUUUUUUUUUUAAUAUAGUGAGAUUUAGUCAUCUUAAGUUUGGCUAAAGUGCCCAGAUUUUUUGGUGUUUUUUAUGUUAGCUAAUUAGCUGCACUUAUAAUAUCAGCUCCAACUUUUGUAAGUGAUGUAUGGUAGUCUGAUUACACUGUCAACACUGAUCAUUUUGAAGAGAAAACAUAAAAAUUAAUUAAUAAUACAGUGUUAUUGUUGUCUGUAAGCAGCUUUCUCCUUCACACAAAUCAACCCCUGUUGUUUCCACUGUGUUCUUUGUUUAUUUAAACACCAGCAAAUAGGGAACUCUCAGUCCAGCCAAUCACUGACUACGCCUGUGGUAUCCAUGGCAACCCCCAGUCUGCAUCCUCAGGGCCUUGUAUACUCAGCCAUGACCUCAUCAUUCAGUACGGGUAUAUAUAAUUGACCUAUACAUAAUAAAUCAUCUAAUAAUACUAGAUUCUGGACCUCAUGACACUACUGAAUGACUAUUGUACUUUUUAACUCUUUCGUUUCUUAUAGAUUUUGCCCUGAGCAGUACAGAGCCCAGUUCUUCACACAGCUUCAGCUCCCCAGAUGCUGUCACAUCAGCAUCAGGGUCUUCAUGGAAACACAGUCAACAUGGUCAGCCAGGCUUCAGUGCUCAGAGGUUAGACUGUGGGAUUGAGGUCUGAUGCCACAAUAUGGCAUGCAUUUCCUUCAUUCACCCAUGUGUUAGAGUGUUAAACUGCAGACGGAUUUUAUACCUGAUUUGAAAAAAAGUGAAACAAUUUAUUAGGUCAGAGUAAGUUUGACUAGCUGGAAAAUCACAUUUAUGAAACUACGAUGAAGUAAGGUAAAAGGUAACCUUUACCUAAUCCAUACCAGUUUUCUAUAAUAGGUUAGUGGAUCAGGCUCUUUUUUGUUGGUUCAAAUAGCUCAGGGAAGUCCCACCUAGCUCAGCUCGUCAACUACCUAAACCAGCAUUCAUAAACCAUUUUACUUUUAUUUAUUUAUUAUUUUAUUUUUACAAAAUUUUUGUUUUGUUUCAGAGACAGUUACAUUUAUUAUUUUUGCUAACAUUUAAUUAUUUCGAAUAACCUGC
ensembl:lncRNA